rnacentral:misc_RNA from 1 species
GAAAUGCGAUAAGUAAUGUGAAUUGCAGAGUUUUGUGAAUCAUCGAAUCUUUGAACGCACAUUGCGCCCCUCGGUAUUCCGACGGGCAUGCCUGUCCGAGCGUCGUUUGCAACCCAUCGAGUAACACUUCUCGGUCUUGGGCGCCGUCCGCCCCCUCGGGGGAUCGGACGGGCCCCAAAGCCCUCGGCAGCCCCGGGUGCCCCGCCGGAGCGUCUUCGAAAGCAAUCGCUCCGGCGCGUCGCGCCCCGGGACCACGCCGGCACCGCGGCCCCCCCAAAGGGGUCGCACCCCCAACACCAAACGUCUGACCUCGGAUCAGGUAGGGCUACCCGCUGAACUUAA